GCUAGUUGAUUGUAAGGGGACAUAGGUAUUUUUGAAGCAAAUCCGGAUGAAACAUCUUCCUGCACCACAUAAUCGAUAAUUGCCUUGAAAUUUUGCGCAAAGAUUGUGGAGUUGCUAAUGGGGAUAGGGUUGCAUUUGUAGGCUAAAAGAUUGGUUGAUCAUCUGUCUCUGCUCAUCUCUGCUCCCCCGAUGACAGCGGCUUCACGCAAGGCAUGGUUGAUCAUCUGUCUCUGCUCAUCUCUGCUCCCCCGAUGACAGCGGCUUCACGCGAGGCAUUCAUGACAUUCAUCAUCAAUGGAGGGAUUGAGGGAAAUAAUGGAGGGGUUAUAUUUAACCUGUAAAAUCCGCCCAUAUUUUCCCAUCCGACUAGUAGAGACAGGAGCUACGGGGGAAGUAGGAGCACCAGGAGCAGAGACAGGGACGACAAUAGAGAAAUUGAUCUUGAAGCACCCAUUGAUUCAGAACCUCCAGAUCCAGAUGACUGGUUUAGAGUGAUGUCAUUUCAUGUAGGGGUUUUCCAGCUCUAGAUCGAGGGGUUUAAAGAUCUUGAAUAGUUUUGGAUGCCAUAGCCCAAGGUUCGAAUAAGAAUGUAGUCAUGGAUGCUACCAAUUCUGGUAUGGGGGAUCCUCCGAUCUUAAAUGCUUUGAUUGAUAUGUUAAAAAAUGGACAAGGGCAACAAAUUACUAUGAUGGUGCAUGAGGCCAUCUCGAAAGUAACUCCAUCGAGCGUGAAUCUUGUUGGCAUGAAGGAUCCAGUUGUGCUCUCCAAUACAUCUACUGUUAUGAUAGAGGAUAUUAUAAGGAUUACUCCAACAAACACUAAUGUUCCUGAUUUGGGUUCAGUUAGAAUUCUCCCACCAACAAUCGGACAAGUUUCCUUGAGGAGUCUCAUAGAUUCACAAUCAAGAAUACUAAGGUUCCUACUAGAUACUCCUGAAAAUGUUCCAAUCAGACAAUAAAUAAUUGUAAAAAUUCAGUUAUGGGAAAGGGAAUUGUUGGAGAGUGCAGGGCCUACCUCAGAUGAACAGGUUCAUCAAUUUCAAAAGGAAGCUUCAGAGGAGGACCUAAAAUAUGCUUUAUUACAUGGUUCCCAAGGCCUACAACAAAAUUUGGUAGAUCGAGGGGAGAUUUUAGUGAGUGGUCUUGAAUCUAAGGAAGCCCAACAAUCAAACUCAUUAGGUAGUGAGCAUGAAGAGGAGGUAGAGGAUCAUGAUGAAUUGUUUGUUCCACACAAUGAUUCGAUUUUCAUUCCUGAAACUCGGCAGGAAACCAUCCUUUAAUUUCAACAAGUGGGAGACAACAAUAUUGAGGAGGGUGUUCAAUGUGAUGAACUAUCCACACCCAUAAUAAAAAAGGUGCCUCAUAAAAAGAGGACACAAAGCAAGAGGAUGGAUAGAAACAAACGAACAAAAGACAUAUUUGCUUCCUAUCAUUGUUCAAUUUCCGUUGCUAUUAUGAACCUAAUUUAUAUAUCAUCACAUUUGUUUAA